AUUGAACUACUAAAGAAGAAACAUCUGCUGUGUGGGUACGGUAGAAAAGAAUAUAGCCACCCCCUCUCUUCCCGUGGCUGUCAUAGGAGGCGACUAAGGGAUAACACAGUUCCACUACCAACUUGGAACUCAAAAGCCGACCGAUAGCGGGAUAACCAUCCAACGUCACACAGAAAACACAAAUGCUAGAGAGCUGUUCCUGCAGUUUUGUAAAAAUGCUGCAAUAAAGGUAAACAAUAGGA
rnacentral:misc_RNA from 1 species